rnacentral:sRNA from 1 species
AUAUUUAAUAAACUUAGGCCAUCUACAUCGUUGAUUCUCAAAAAGAGUUUCUCAUGAAUAAAAUUUUAUUUAUUUUAAUCAAAUUCAGAUAAAGUAUUAAAUUUUAA